rnacentral:rRNA from 1 species
GAUGAACGCUGGCGGCGUGCUUAACACAUGCAAGUCGAGCGAGUGAGUUCUUCGGAACGAUCUAGCGGCGGACGGGUGAGUAACACGUGGGCAACCUGCCUCAUAGAGGGGAAUAGCCUUCCGAAAGGAAGAUUAAUACCGCAUAACAUCGUUGAAGGGCAUCCUUCGAUGAUCAAAGGAGCAAUCCGCUAUGAGAUGGGCCCGCGGCGCAUUAGCUAGUUGGUGAGGUAACGGCUCACCAAGGCGACGAUGCGUAGCCGACCUGUGAGGGUGAUCGGCCACAUUGGGACUGAGACACGGCCCAGACUCCUACGGGAGGCAGCAGUGGGGAAUAUUGCACAAUGGGGGAAACCCUGAUGCAGCAACGCCGCGUGAGUGAUGAUGGCCUUCGGGUUGUAAAGCUCUGUCUUUGGGGACGAUAAUGACGGUACCCAAGGAGGAAGUCACGGCUAACUACGUGCCAGCCGCCGCGGUAACAC